rnacentral:lncRNA from 1 species
GCCACUCGUAGAAUGGGAGAAGUGAGGGAGGAAGUAUUUGAGGCAGCUCAUGCCCGAGGGCAGGGCCCAGUAUGGCCACAGCUGAGAUGGCACGAGGGGCACCCAGUGGAUGGUUCUGGGCUGGAGAGAAGCAGUGAGUUAGGGCCUCUGGGCACGGUGGAUUGAAGCACUUCCUCUGGAGGCCUCAGCUGGGCAGGGGCAGGUCUUGGGUCUGGGUGAGCCUCUCCUCUCAUAGCACAGGGCUUCACCAUCUACGAUACAGUCUACGAAGCACUUACCACCACUUCGUGGGGAGCAA